UACGUAGGGUGCGAGCGUUGUCCGGAAUUAUUGGGCGUAAAGAGCUUGUAGGCGGUUUGUCGCGUCUGCUGUGAAAAUCCGGGGCUCAACCCCGGACUUGCAGUGGGUACGGGCAGACUAGAGUGUGGUAGGGGAGACUGGAAUUCCUGGUGUAGCGGUGAAAUGCGCAGAUAUCAGGAGGAACACCGAUGGCGAAGGCAGGUCUCUGGGCCACUACUGACGCUCAGGCACGAAAGCGUGGGGAGCAAACAGGAUUAGAUACCCGU
rnacentral:rRNA from 1 species